CCUACGGGUGGCUGCAGUAGGGAAUCUUCGGCAAUGGACGAAAGUCUGACCGAGCAACGCCGCGUGAGUGAAGAAGGUUUUCGGAUCGUAAAGCUCUGUUGUAAGAGAAGAACGGGUGUGAGAGUGGAAAGUUCACACUGUGACGGUAUCUUACCAGAAAGGGACGGCUAACUACGUGCCAGCAGCCGCGGUAAUACGUAGGUCCCGAGCGUUGUCCGGAUUUAUUGGGCGUAAAGCGAGCGCAGGCGGUUAGAUAAGUCUGAAGUUAAAGGCUG
rnacentral:rRNA from 1 species